rnacentral:rRNA from 1 species
AUUGAACGCUGGCGGCAGGCUUAACACAUGCAAGUCGAGCGGGGGAAGGUAGCUUGCUACCGGACCUAGCGGCGGACGGGUGAGUAAUGCUUAGGAAUCUGCCUAUUAGUGGGGGACAACAUCUCGAAAGGGAUGCUAAUACCGCAUACGUCCUACGGGAGAAAGCAGGGGAUCUUCGGACCUUGCGCUAAUAGAUGAGCCUAAGUCGGAUUAGCUAGUUGGCGGGGUAAAGGCCUACCAAGGCGACGAUCUGUAGCGGGUCUGAGAGGAUGAUCCGCCACACUGGGACUGAAACACGGCCCAGACUCCUACGGGAGGCAGCAGUGGGGAAUAUUGGACAAUGGGGGGAACCCUGAUCCAGCCAUGCCGCGUGUGUGAAGAAGGCCUUAUGGUUGUAAAGCACUUUAAGCGAGGAGGAGGCUACUUUAGUUAAUACCUAGAGAUAGUGGACGUUACUCGCAGAAUAAGCACCGGCUAACUCUGUGCCAGCCGCCGCCGUAA